rnacentral:lncRNA from 1 species
GUUUGAGUUGUAACGAAAUUGAACUAUUUAUGUUGAUUUAUUUUUGUUUAUGUUUGAUUGUUUUGCUUAGUUUUGAGUGCAUAUGUUGUUUGAGAGCGAUGGCGCGUGCUUCAUUUUACAACGCCUACUGGAAAUAGGCGCGCGCGUUGCAUUUUACAGCGUCAGCUGGAGCCAGCGUUGGCCGUCGCGCCAAAACAGGCGAAAGACGCGCCGCAAACUCAAUUUUAACGCGCCACGCAUUGGACGGUUGUUGGAGAUGCUCUAAGCAUAGAUCACCGGUGUCCAUGUGUUUAGAGGGAAGGGCGGGUGGUGUACCGAAACAUAAG